UUUCUUUUAGCUUAAUGGCAGAGCAACAUUUUUCUAAAUUGUCGGUCAAGGUUCGAUUCCUUGAAAGAAAU